GCCACUGAUUUCUACGCUUUUCUGUCAGAAUUCAGUAAGAGUUUGACUAUAAAAUUUUCAGAAGCCCAGCAGACAUGCUGACAUUUUCUACCACCAGUACUCCUUAGAACCAAGGAAGCUUGAAAACUUACUACUUCACAUCAAAGGAUUUUAUCAUUUCUACGGCGCUAGCAGAACACACUGGAAAGCACGUAAUACUGCUGAAAAGAUGCAAAGAGAAGAUGCAAUUCUAUUAAGGUGAAAGUGAGAAACAGUGGCACAGUGCUGACCCCGAGUAAUUCCCAAGAGAACAAUAGGACACGCUUCAGAGCUGCUGGUCCCCAACUCAUCUGCCCAGAUCAUGCUCCCCCG
rnacentral:lncRNA from 1 species